UGUCACCGAACUUGCCGUACGUGGGGGCUACUCUGUCAAGGUGAAGGCCCCAGGCAGGCUCCCGAGCAGUCUGAGAAGCCUUAUGUGGGUGAGUCUUGCCAUGGAGCGGGGAGUGGGCUGGUGUUUGCCUGGUGUGUGCAGAGCAUUUGCUCUUGGCUGGUGGUGAGCACCUCAUGGCGUGAUAGUGGGGGGCUGGCCGUCGUCAUCACACUGCACGGUGGACGGAGGACACAUUUAAAUUUUUUUUAAUAUUCACUUAUUAUUUUGAGAGAGAGAGAGACAGAACGCAAGUGGGGAGGGGGAGAGAGAGAAGGAGACACAGAAUCUGAAGCGGGCUCCAGGCUCUGAGCUGUCAGCACAGAGCCCGAUGUGGGGCUCGAACUCACGAACCAUAAGAUCAUAACCUGAGCCAAAGUUCAGACGCUUAACCGACUGAGCCACCCAGGCGCCCCCGAACACAUUUUAGAGUUACAUAGUUCUGGAGUUGAAUUUCAGCUCAGCCACUCAUCAUUUGCUUUGAACAACCUACUUAACCUUGCCCAGGUACCUCCUUUUAAAACAAAACCAAUGUCUACUUUACAGAAUGAUUGUUACUAUUAUAGAAGUCCUGGACUUUGUACAGUGCCUAGUACAAUGGGAUAACAGUCCAUGAUAGUUUACAUUGCCGUUACUUAAAAAUAAUUUAGAUCUACAUAGAAGGAGGGUGAUGGGCCCGCACAGCAGGCCGGUUUAUUAUGCAAAUGAAUAGGGUUUUAUACAGGCUCGCUUGCCCCAGGCGUUACAUUAUUAGUAGCUGCUUACAAAAGAAUAAGGGCAGCUAGAAUUUAUUACUAAGUGAAAUCCUGGCCAAGGCCUAACCUCACAGCAAAUACGUUUUUCUUUUUUUAAUGUUUUAUUUAUUUUUGAGACAGAGAGAGACAGAGCAUUAGCAGGGGAGGGGCAGAGAGAGAGGGAGAGACAGAAUCCGAAGCAGGCUCCAGGCUCUGAGCUGUCAGCAAAGACCCUGAUCCAAGGCUCGAACCCACAAACUGUGAGAUCAUGACCUGAGCCAAAGUUGGACGCUUAACCGACUGAGCCACCCAGGCACCCCGCAGCAAAUCUUCUGGGUGCCCAGUGCUGGCUGGCUUCUUAAAGUUGGCCUGCAGGCACCCGCCAUGCUAAUGUGUCUAUCUGUCAUUAAGGAUGGAAGGAACACUCUCCUUCACAAGGCCUCCCAUAUAUGGUCCUCCUCCAACCCCUUGGGUGAAGGAACAUGGGAAACAUGAAAGGUCAUAGCACCACUGUGCCGAGCGCAAGUCAGGCCAGCACAACCUCAUCCAUCUGUGCUAUGUCGUCAUGGGAGGGACCGUCUGCCAGCUCCAUAGCACUUCUCCAAACUCUGGCCAUCAGGAUGUGGGCAAAAGUCAUGUAAACACAUCUAAGCCUGGCCUAUAAAAAUAUGACGCUUUGCUCCCUGUGUUCUGUAUGUUGGUUGGAUGUCUGUGCCAUGGACAGCACUGUGACCCAUGUGUUGAGGACACUCAUGCGUUUGCUGUCUCAGCUGGGGUCCCCAGAGGGCUGUGCAGAGUGGAGCCUUGCGUCAGUUGGACUCUACAUGAGUGGGACAUAACUUUCAUAAGUAAAAUUGUGUAUUUUAUAUAAACCAGUAAUACUAUUUUGCGGGUUUAUGUGUAAUAACAGCCAGCACCAUUGUAACUAAUACAAGAUGAUCUGUAAUUGACUUUUUCCAGAAUGUCGCCAUAGGUAAACUGGAGAUUUGACUAGUUAGUGAUCAGAUAAUUGAGGAUGUUGGGCAGGUAAUUACACUAAGAAAGACUGAAGUCCCUUAAACCAAUACUCAGCUCAUGAUUACACCUUUUAGGACAAGAAGAAGAAAGCCUGAUAUUUAAAAUAUAAGUCUGGAGCCUCAAGUAGACCUGUAAUGCAUAAUAAAUCACAGCUAAUACGGAAGGAAACAUCCAUUUACUACAGACUUUAAAAAGUUCUUUCUUGGAAUUUCUUUAUCCAAACAAAGAGUUUUGGAAUUUCCUGCUCAGUAAUCAUUGAUCGAUUGAUUGAUUGAAACAUCCAAGAACUUCAUAUUCCCAUCCUGGUCCAUGCAAAAUUAUUCAGUUGUCUUAAGCAAAGAAAAAUAAUAGUCCUAAUAGUAAUUUCUUGGAUUCCUAAAUGUCUUCACAAUAUCGAUUGACGUCUACUUAACUGUCAAGACGUUACAAAGUCUACCAAGUUUUAUUUUUCAUUUCAGCCGUUCCCCAUAUAAUGAAUGGGUCCCGUGUUUGGACAACUCACUUUCACUUCAGCAACUUCUGUGGGGAUUAUUCUCCUUUCCUUUAUGAGCCUGUCACAGAGAUUCCUUGGACUGGGAAGUUUGCCCAGCCCCUCACAUGUCAGCCACAGAAGGCAAAACUCACUUCCCUUUUCUUCCCAGCAACAAUUACUCUGUCCAAGCUUCAGGAAGUCCUGUGCACCGUCAGCUGUGGUGUGUGUGUGUGUGUGUGUGUGUGUGUGUGUGUGUGACCCACAAUGUGGCAUAAAAAAGACAUAUAUAAGAAACAACAGAAAGGACUAUUACCGCGACUGCCUGGAAAUCCCUAACCUGUCUGAGAUGUGUCCUUUGCUGUUUUCCUCCCACAGGGGCCCCUCCUGCCUAAGUUGGGUGGUGGUCUUCCCUAGAGCAGGAAGGCAGUGUACCCGGGGGUCCUGGGGAGGGAGUUGUGCCUAUUUUCAGCAGUCUGUAGGCACCCAAAUUCUGCUCACUUUUCUCUUCUAGAAAAGUGAUAGACUCCCCCCAAAUAUCUUUUCUUGCUUCAAGUCAAAAAACUGUCUUAGAAGUGAUGCUCAUAAUGUUUUUCUCUCAUCCAGCACUGGAGAAUCCACUGACACUGCCCUAGUUUUCCUGGGCGUUCGUCUAUCUGAUGACUUCAUGGCUGUGGUCAUAACUCUGAAUCAGGAUACCCCUGAUUACUUACUGUUGUAAGUUCAGUGAAAAUACCUAUACAGUUCAUACCUGGUACCCCAGCUACUGUUGCUGCAUAAGAAGUCACCCCCCAAGUUUAGUGGCUUAAAACAACUUUAUUAUUAUGCUUAUGGAUUGUGUGGUUUUGGAAUCGAGAUAGUGGGAAUGGCUGUUCCAUAAUGUUGGGGGCCUAGACAGCCUUGGCUGAGUGAGAGCCAGGCCAGCACGACCUCAUCCGUCUGGGCCGUCAUCAUGGGAGGGACCAUCUCCCAGCUCCAUAGCACUUAGGGUUGUUCCAUAAUGUCUGGAGUGACACGAAAUUGGGGGACAAAGUGAUCUGAGGACUCCUCCACUCACAUAUCUGGUCCCUGAUUUGGGAUGAGAUAUUUGAAGAUGAGCACUGUGGACGGAGUACCCAUCCAGGGCCUCUCCAUGUGGUGUGGUUUCCACACAGCACGGCAGCCUCAGGGUGGCUGGACUGCUAACAUGGAGGUUCAGGGCUCAAAGCCUAAGUGCUUCCGCGGCAAGACGAAAGCUCGAUGAAUGCCUUUGUGACCUGGAAGUCAUGCAGCACCGUUUCCACUGCCUUCUAUCAGUGGCAGUCAAGCCACAACCCUGCCCAGACUCAAAUGAAACAGAAUUAGACCUUGUGCCUUGACAGGUUAUUGGCAAGGUUCCGGAAGGGCCUGGAUGGAAGAUGUUGUGAUCUUCUUAUCUUGGGAAAAUACAGGCAGCCACGGUGGAUUCUGCUUUUAGAGGUUGUGUGUGGAUUUGUGUUGCAGAAUUUGAAGCCACACGUGUUCGGUGCUCUGCACUUUGCAGACAAAGUGCCCUAGGGGUCCCGGAGUGGGAAAAAUCUUUACUUAUCGAGAUGAGUCUGGUUGCGUUUUAGCUAAACCUGGAAAGAUGAAGCAGACCAGAGGGGACACUAGGCAGAGGAGAUCGUGCUUUUAGAUACAGGGAGAUGGGAAGUACAGGGAAAUGUGACUAUAUCCUAAGACUACAAUAUUGGAGAGGGGCUCUGGGGCAGAUGGAGAUAAACUUGACAUGUCCAUGGAACCGUGAUUUGUCUCAGCAGCUGACUAACAAAGCGAAAGACCGGAGGAACUGCUUAUAUCAGUCCCUCCUGACCUCCCCUUCCCUCCAAGAGUCUCUACAUUUUAACAUUUUAUUUGUAGUGCUUUAAAUAAAAUGUGUACUCCUUGCUCUUGGGAUAUAUUUAAGCAUAAACAUACUUUGAUAUCUUUACGGAUCUCAUUUUUUUAAUUAGAGAGAGAGAGCAUGAGAGUGUGCCAAGUAGGGGUGGGGGCAAAGGGAGGGAGGGAAAGAGAGAGAGAGAGAGAGAGAGAGAGAGAGAGAGAAUAUCUUAAGCAGGCUCCUUGCUCAGCACGGAGCCCAAUGUGCUCGCACCCACAAUCCUGGGAUCAGGACUUGAGUGGAAAUCAAGAGUUGGAUGCUCAACCGACUAAGCCACCCAGGUGCCCCUUGGGUUCUGAUGUCUAUGCUACAUCUUUGCCCACUUUAUCUUGCCCCCACUCACUUCAGUUUUCCCCAAGACCUUAUUCAAAAUGUGGAGAGAAUGGACCCACUUGGACUCUCUUUCUCCUUGGUUGUCUGCUCCUUUAAUUCCAGCUCUCUCCUCACUCUGUAAAACUGCGCUUGAUCCUGUAUUGCACUUACUCUUAUCUUUAGAUAUAUGUGUUAUUCAUGUUUUUAAAAGCCUGGAUGCUGACCAGUCGUCUUGAACAUUUUGCAAGGCAAAGUUAUUGAAAAUUGGGGCAAUAGUUAAUCACCUUUGUAUCCUAGCAGGAAGGUAGGAAAGAUGCCGUGGUUGGCUCAACUCAACCCAUGCCUGAGAGUACACCUGGGUGUUAUUCAAAUCAAGAGUGAGGAAGGAAAGUUAAUUUAAAAAUACCCUACAUGUAUCUGAAUUGGGCAAUUGCUGUGGGGAAUAAAAAGACAAAGAGGCAUUCAAGGAAGCGCGAACACACAGAAGGGUAACAGAGUGGUAGCAGAAUCAUGGCGUCCCUAAAAGGUCCACACCCUAAUCCUUGGAAACUGUGCAUGUGUUCCUUUACACAACAAAAGAAUGUGUAGAUAUGAUAAAAUCAAAGCUCUGAGAUGGGAAGUUAGCCUGGAUUAUCCAGCUUGGCCCAGUGUAAUCACAUGGGGCCUUUAUGUGAAAGAGGGAGGCAAGGAAGUCAGUUAUGCAAUAUGAGAACUGACUGGCCAAUGGUGGCUAUGAACCAAGAAAUGAAAACAGGUUCUAGAAGCUGAAAAAGGCAAAAGGGAACAGAGCUCUGCCUCAUCUUGAUUUUAGUUCAGUAAGACCUGUUUUGGACUUCUCAUCUUCAGACCAUGAGAUAAGAUAUUUGUGUUUUUUUUUUAAGCCACUGAUCUUGUGGUAAUUUGUUACAGCAGCAAUAGGAAACUAAUACAAACAGCAAAGUUAAAUGAGACACAAAUCCAGAAAAUGGUGCCAUGGGUCAGUAGCCAGAAAUUGUCAAAUAUUGGGUUUUCUACUAUAAUGCGAUAUAUGUAUCCUCCCCUACUAAAACAACAACAACAACAACAACAACAACAACAAACAACAACAACAAAUGCUUCCGUCUGUAAAAUGAAGCAUGAAAAGUAACUGGGCUCUAAGUGAAAGUAUGAUUGUGGCAAAUCACUCAAAGCUUAUGGAGUUUAGAAUCAGAGCACUACUAAAACAAUAACAACACCAAUAAAAAUACUGGUACAGUUAAUCUCUGCUGGCAUGGCAUUUACCUCUUGCUUUCUCCUUGAGAAUGGACCGUUCAUAGGGCAGUUGUUUCUGAUAGUGAUCUGCUUCAUGAAAAUUAAAAGUACAAUCUUGGGACGCCUGGGGGGCUCAGUUGGUGGAGUGUCCAACUUCAGCUUAGGUCGUGAUCUCAUGAUCUCAUGGUUUGUGAGCUCGAGCCCCGCAUCUGGCUUACUGCUAUUAAGCGCAGAGCCAGCUCCAGAUCUUCUGUCCCUCUCUCUUCCCCUCCCCCACUCAUGCUGUUUCUCCCUCAAAAAUAAAAUAAACAUUUUUUUUUUUAAGUACAAUCCUGAGAUAGCCUUCUUGGUCAGUCAUUUCUUUUUAAGCACUGGAGGAAAUGUCUCUGCAAAUUCUUCAUUUCCACUUACAACUUCCCCAGACAUAUUGGAAAGUCCAAUUUCUUGAAGUUAUGAAACCAGUUCCUACUUGCACUAAUGGGAGACGCUUUGGCAAGAUGCUCGGAGUCUCAGAUUUUCUUCUAGUUUUCAUUUGGUGCUAAAACUUUCUAUUUAGCUCUGAAACCCUUGCUGAUCAUUGCUUCCAAAUGGUGAUCUGCUUGGAAUAAUUGAGCAAAAGCAGACUGUAAUUGGUGGAAACAGUGAGCGCUAGGAAUUUAAAUGAAGGUGGCAGUGUGGUGGCAAAGGCCUCCUGCUGGUGGCCUUGAGCAGAGCCUUGAGAAUGGGUAAGACUGUGGAGGGUAUGGAGUAACUUCCAGGCGGAGCGAAGAACAAUGGCGGCACCAUCCAACAUGGGGUGUGCCUGGUGAACUGUGUUUGGCUCCAGCACCAGCGGCUGGCACAGUCACGAUGGCUGCAGGUGGCAGACCUCCUGUCCUCGGGGUUGUUUCUCAUGGUCUUGGACUGCAGGCACCAAGAAGCUUCUCUCAAGGAGGCAGUGCCACCCCUAUGCUCAUGUUUACGUACACUGUGACUUCCUCACGUAUCCUUCAGGCUGUCUCGCCCCUGUAACUCCCCCUUCAUGUCAGCCUCCUGUGAUUUUGUGGCCCUGGAACUCUUAGAGGAAAUAAAAAUAUACAAGAGCAGGUUCUAGACGUGCACGCUUUUCCAACUUUUCCAGCAUAAGGUCCUUCCACAAUUCCAGUGCCUCUGCCUAUCACAGAUAUCAUUGAGAGAAAAAGCCUCACCAACAAAGUCACUAUAGGGUGGGGAGGUGGCCUUCAAAUGCACACCCCACGGACAGAUAUUAGAACCUCCUGUAUAUUAAUGUGUACAAUGAAUUUGUACCCAUUUCUCAGCCUGAGCCACUCUUACCCCACGUCUGUUCCUCAUCCUCCCUGACCUGUGGGGUCGGUCCCCACUCCUCCACCUCCUCCUCCUGCCCACAUUCCUCUCGGUGCCUCUUUCCCCGCUUUGCCCUUCAAAUGCAUCCUCUAAAUUGGAAGAUGGCAGUUGCACUGGGAAGGGGCUGCAGCUGUGGAGCCCCCGUGUGGCCCCCGGGCUCCUCACUGUGCACCCUAGAAGAUCUUUGUGUGGUGCUUCUGUCCUUGCCAGUUGCCAGAUCUGUCCUGUUUGUGCUACUGGACCUGGGGCUGGCCUUAUCCUUUGUUCCAAAAGAGCAUGCAUUCAUCACAGCUUUUCUAGAGUCUCUCCUGCCUGUUUGCCUGCUGUUCAUUCAGAAGUAACUCGGUGAUGGCUUAAUGUCUGGGCCGCACAGCAUGCCCAGUCAGAGAAGAAAUAAGUCCUUAAGGGCAUUCAAAAGAGAGCCACAAGGACAACCGGGGGAAACUGAGGCCACACAACCCGGAAAAGAAGGCAGGCCGCUGGGGGACUUGUAAAUGUGACUUAGAGGGGGUGCUCUGUCACGAUCACAAGAUUCAGAAAGAGACUGGAGGAUGAGCUAUGUGUGUGCAACUUUUUCCAGUCACGUAUUCAAGAAAUAAUAAUGAAAAAUGAGUUCUGCGCAAUGGAUUAGUAAGUGCCGAUAAGGCACAGGUUGAAUAUGUAAGUGAAUUGGAUUUAAAUUACGCAUUAAGGAGCUCUUUCGAGGGCAAUUAUCAGUCCUCCUUUGGAAGACUUUAAAAAGAGGAUCGAUUAAACUAGGUUUAAAUGGGGACUGUGGAAAGCAAGAGGAGGAAAGGGUUAUGGAGGGAGCUUUCUCGGUGCAGCGCCCUCAGCCCCGCCCGCCCAUGAGCAGCACCUGCAGGUGUAAAUAUUUGCCUGCCCCUUGUUCAGCAAAUCCUUGUCCGGCCACACCCACCUGCUUCCAAGGGAGCCCAUGAUAAACUGGUGCAGUGACAAUGAUAUUGACCUUGGUGUUCUAAAAGAGGCACAUGGAGUAGUGUGGACCUUGGCCUUCAAUUAACAUCACAGAGAAAUGAACUCCCAUCAUCCCACUGGAUUAGCAACAUGAUCAGGUGGUUUUUUUCCACCUACUAUAUUCCAGGACAAUGCUCCAGGGAAAAGUCUAGAGAGUCAGCACUAGCUCAGUACAGUACCCGGCGCGGGGCGGGGGAGCACUGGAGGAAAAAGAAAAGGACUUACGUGUUUUUCAAAACUGCUGCCAAAAGAUAAGGUUGUUUAUGCAACUCCUAACACUGAUCAGGGGAGGACUGCGAAACCAGGAUGGAAGGAACUUCGGUCGGCUGAUAAAUACACAAUUCACAUCAGCCAGGCAGGGGAGAAGGGUUGAGUAGGGUCUGCGUGUACCAAGAGUCAAGGAGCAGUACCUUGAAGGCAUAUCUGGGGCUAGGUAUCUUACUUCAUUUGUACGGCGUGAUGAUUUGGAGUCUACAUUCAGAAAAACAAUUUUUCUAACGGAGCACCAGGCCACAGACACAGGCCUCUUAACAGACCCAGAUGGUCAGUGGAUUAAAAUGAUGACUUCCCAUGUCCUGGGUGCCAGAUGGCUCUCCUAUUGGCCUCACACUGACCUCUGGGUAGCAGAACCUUACCAUCAGGGAGCAAGCAUUGGGGAGGAAUUGAGGCCAACUGGGGUGUUAUAAAAGGAGUCGGUCAUCUGUGAGUCCUGGCUAUUACCGGGAAGUGAUCUAAAAAAUGAAAAUAGAUAUGCAUAUCAGAAGUCAGAACAGAUCUUUUACUGAAAGGCAAUCUGGAGAAGUCCAUUGACUUCAAGGGAUUAAAACCCCGUUGAUCUCUGGGUGGAGACACUGAAGUUUCCUCCUUGCUGCUCUGGGCUCUGAGUGUGACCAGACCGCACCUUUGGACCUCUGUCUGGUGGGCAGGCUCCAGUGGACGAAGCCUUACUUGGAUCAUUUUGUGGAAGAACAGAGGCUUUGGUGAAUGCUUCUUUGGCAAUGACAAGCUUUUUGCACCUAUCAUUAGAGUCAAGAGGCAAGUUCCAAAACCCUUCUCAAGUGGAACUUGAGGAGAUCCAAGGACGUGUCAUAAAGCCUGGGGAAUUUACCAGUAGGCACAAGGACAGAGCCACAACAUAGGGGAGUAUGGAUGUGGGACUCCAAUCCAGCCAUGGGCAGAGUUCUCAUCAGAGGGCACUCCACCGGCUAUGCUGAGGCAGCUCUCCCAGGAUGACCCCAGCUCAGAGGAGAUGGUCUAAGGUGUCCGUGUGACGAUUAAUGACAUUGGAUCUUUCUCCAAUGUCAGUGUGGGAAUCAUGAGACUUCAGAUUAAGAUUUAAAUGUUGUCCGAAUGCUUCUGUGUGAAUUAUAUUUUUAAGUUGUGACUUCCUUCCUGUAUGUUGUGGCCGGUGCAUAAACUGGAGGAGGGACAGUUGGUGUCACUCUACCGGAGACGUUUCCCCAGAUUUCUGGGUGGAUUCUUGAGUCAACAGAAAUCUGACAGUGCUGAGAAGUAAGGUAGCCCCUUCGAGUAUGAGCUCCUGGUCCCAGAGACAGAGUAUUGAGCACAUGGAUCCAUCCAUCCAUUCCCAUUUGGAGCUGAAGACUCAGGAACAGUAGGAGAGAUAAUUUCUGCAACAGCGUUUGCUGUUCCACAGCUGAAAGAGGAAGUAAAGUUGAAGGCAGGAAGGCAGCAUUUUGAAAAUACUAUGGAGUUCACUGAGAGUUAACAAAGCAAUCUGUCUUUAUUUUAUUUUUUUCCCAAAGCAAUCUGUCUUUAAAACCUCCUAAGAAAUUGUCGCUGGGGAUACAUCUUUUUAGACUCUUGGGAUGGUCUGUCUUGUAGCUGCUGUGAAAUGGAAGAAUUUCCCCAGCACCAUUAUUGCUUUUUUAGUCACCUGCUGGAAAGACAUGUGGAGGAUGUGACAUACCAAAAAAGCAGUACCAAACUCCUUGCCAAGAGGAAAUCCCUGGUUAGUUGCUUCCCCGUAAUGAUUUUUCAUAAAAUGGUGUUUAAAACAUUCUUCUAUAGACGAUGUUGUCUAAAAUAGCUUGUUCUAUGACCAGAUCAUCUCGUUUUCUUUCCCUCGUCUAUUUCUGAGUUCUGUCUGGCUUUAAAUGUGUAAACCUUUCGACCACUGAGAUCAUUCUCAGAACUGGGUUAGGAGGACAAAGCGUUGAGAUAGAAGGAAAUUUUAGCCAGCAAUUUCCCAAUAGCACAAGAUUUCCUUUUCCUCCUUUUUUUUCUUCUUCACAGGGGAGCAGGGUAUGUGGGGUGAGGACAUGCCAAGCUGCCUAGGCAGGAAAUACUGUCCCGUGACACCAAAUUUAAAAGGAAGACAUUUUUGAAAAAUGGCAACAUAUUUUAGUUUACUUCUUUCGUUUUGCUCAAUGCCACUGACUUCUUCAUGCUUUGUAGCUGUUCAAAAUGUUGCUUGCAACUCCCAAAGUGAGCCCCAUGAAACUGACUUGAAUGGCUAUGCUUUUCCUAAAAUGCUGGGGCUUUUUUUUUUUUUUUUUUUUAAAGGUUAAUGUGUUUUUUCAGUUGGUCAGAAGAUAUUUAGAGACCAUCCCCUGGGUGCACAGUGAUGUCAUGGGUCUUCAGGGAUAGCAAUUAAAGAGCAGGCUUAGGUUCUGCCCAGCUGUAUUUACAACCUUAUGAAGGGGGAGGCCUUGUGUAGAAUGAAAGGCCCUACUCCUAGAGCUGGUAGGUUGGGAUGUAGGCAGCGAAAGUGGCAGGGAAGGGGCCCCGCUGUUGGGGAGACCAGCAGAAACAUUCGUCUGGGAUCCCAAAUUCAAAAUUAUACUCGGUUCUGGGAAAAAAUAAAAGGAAGUGGCCCAGGUAGUGUGCGCCACUGAGAGACGCUAGCAGGGAAGAGGGAACAUGAGGGGUAAGGCAACUGUGACGAGUGCGUGGUCAUUCCAGACCUGGGCUCUCCCCUCUCCUGUUUCCACACACAUCUGUCCACACCAGUCAUCCACCUCCAGUCCUCUUCCACGCUGCGCUCUCUCUAAAGAGAGAGGCUGUUGUCAUGGAAACAGUAUGGCUUUGGAAUAAGCCAGACCUGGGUUCGAAUCUUCUGUGUAUUGUUACAGUGUUAGACUUUAUGAUCCUUCCCUGUAAAAUGGGCGCACCAAUACCUGCCAUUCAGGGUACUUGGGAAGACUAAAGUACAUAAUGUGCGCGUCAAACACACAGCACGGUGCCUGGCACACGACAAACGCUCAGUGGAGGCUUGUUCUUCAGGCCCCUUAGGGGGAGCCAGUCACAGGGAUUUGUUCACAUUUCUGUGUGGGUGGAACGGACAGGGCAUUGAAUCUGGCUCUGCUGCUCCCCAGCUUUGAGGUCCCCCAAGCUCCCCGCUUCCCAAAGAGGACAUGAUAUUAGAAGGUCAUUGUCAGGAUUGGAAAGAGAAAGCAGUAGAGCUGGUUUCCAUCUUUAAACUUCUUUGUAGUGUGCCAUCCGUGCACCCCGAAAUGCCCCAUGUGCAGCUGUACCCCUGACAUUGCCUUAGCUGGAGCCCCUUCGGGAGCCUCAGCCAGGGAUCUAAGCUGCCUCGAGGUCCCAGGGACGGCCACUUCCAAAACAAGCCUUGCUUCACUUUCCAUUUUUACAACUGCCUUCACUGUUCAGUGUGACCUGAUUUUACCUGAGAAGCCAAUUCCAGCGUCAGGAUAGAGUUCCCCUGAGCUCCGACCAAGCCUCAUUUGUCAGAGUGUCUUCUGCCCUAUCACACUUGUCCUACCCUUCUCCUUUCCAGGGCUGGUCUUGCAGGCAGCAGCUUGAUUUGUGCCCAUGAAGGGCAAACCGGGCUCAAUAAACCUAAGAGAAAAUCCAAGAAUAGUCUAAAGAAGUCUGUGCUCAGGUGUCCAGGGGAAAUGACCUUGUUUCAUAAGGGACAGUUAUUGCUAGCUCAUUAGCAUUAUUGUGCAUCCGGACUUCAUGUGUGCAGGGGAGGAGAAAUAAUUUCCCUGUACCUUUCUGAGUUCUUAGCCGAGACCUAUGUGAUAGCAGACAGAUUAGCAAGAGAAAAACAGAUGUUCAUUAACAUGUAUACCUCCUGUAUAUACCUGUAUAUACCUCAUAUAAUGUAUAUGUGUAUGCAUUAACAUGUAUACUUCCUAUGUGUGUGGGAGAUACUCAGGGACAAAUGAACAACUCAAAGAAGUGAGUUAGAAUUUGGGUUUAAAAGCCAUCUUAAUAGAGAAAGGGGAAGGAGAAUAUAGGCCUUUCAGGAGAGAGGAAAUGAUUUUUAGGAAAGACAAAUGGGCCCUUGGAAGAAUAGAUGGGUGGUGUGACAGUUUGUGGCAAAGUUAGUUUGGGUGCGGGGUUGACUUCUAGGCUCCUUUCCUGUGACAAGAGUCAGUUCUCCCAGGUUGAUGAGACUCACAGGAGGGGAUUUAUGACAACUGAGUUCCUCUUGGAGUAUCUGCCUUUAGGCAGAUGAGGGGAGUUCAGAGAAAGCCUCUCCCCGUAUUUGCCUACAGCUCAAAAUAAUCAAUAUACAGAAGCAGUGGGGUGCCUGGGUGGCUCAGUUGGCUAGUGUCCGACUUCAGCUCAGGUCAUGAUCUCACAGUUUGUGGGUUCGAGCCCUGCAUCAGGCUCUGUGCUGACAGCUCAGAGCCUGGAGCCUGCUUCACAUUCUGUGUCUCCCUCUCUCUCUGCCCUUCCUCUGCUCACGCUCUGUCUCUCUCUGUGUCAAAUAUAAAUAAACAUUAAAAAAAUAAUAAAAAAUGUAAAGAAAAACUCACUGAAGCAGCAUCUUUGGGGGUGCUAUGUCAUAUUUUGGGGUGGCACAUUCUGUUGCCCUUCAUGUGCGAUCACUGAUAAAAGAUGACAGUUUUGGAGAGAAAACCAGGAGCACCUUUGGGACCCGUUGAAGGCAAAAUAAGGGCUCUGCUGUCCCUUCGCAUAAGCGGUCCCAUACAAUGUACACAGGCAUCGGGUAUUUAAUGAAACGCUCUCAAGUGGAUAGGAGGCAGGAGACUAGGAAGAUUUCCCUGGUAUCUUGCACAGUGAGUGUGAAAUGCAAGUUUUUGCCAGUGGUUUACACAUCCCCUGCCAAAGCCCAAGGAGGAAAGGAGUAAAUGGCCGCGAGGGAGAGGGGUUUGAUUAUCAGAUGGUUAAACGUGGCAUGAUAGCGUUCUACGAGAAGUUUUGAAACAAGUCACCAUAUGUUCCCUUUGCUUCCCACAGACCCGAACAGAAAACAUCUGGAGGUACACACAGCGGCGCUACGUGAAACAUCUGUGUGUGACUCACACGCUGGGCUGCUUGCUCUUUGCCGGCUCUUGACUCCAUUCCCACCCUUCCCGCCUUUCUCUAGAGGGACCGGAAGCCUGUGAACUACACUUCCCAGACUCCCCAGCGGGCUGGCUUCCACUUAGCUUCUACCCUUGGGGCAGACAGCAGUGGGAGGCUGCAAGCGAGGUGGGAGAAAAAGCCAAUUUUUCUUCCAUGUCUGCUGAAGGCUGUGGCAACAGCAGGUGAAUGUGGGUUUGUGCUCAGGUGGUAGAGUUUCAACAGCAGUGGGGCAGGGGGGCUUCUGCAGCCUCUGCGGGGCAGAGUUCCCGGGCUCUGGCUCUGGCUCAGGCAGCAGCAGCAGUGACAGGCAACCCUGGGUGGGAGUUCAGCCUCCUGGCUUCCUGAAAGAUGGGCCGACAAGAGCAGUGGAGCAGUGGGUAUACCAGCAGCCUCAGCAGCAGAGCGGCUGCGGAUUCUGGAUCACACCAUUUUUUCUUGGGCUCAUUCAGCCUUGGGAUGGUAGUCGCGUCCUGCUGUUACUGAUCUCUGAAUGAUCUCAGCUGCCUUUUUAUUUUCCUCCAGCCCUUCACGUGUUGUGAACCGCCCCUCUGUUUGAAAUUCCUAUAGUAGUUUCUGUCCUGCUGACUGGACACUGACCAACGUAGACACAUAUAAACUAAACACAAACAUUGAAGGCAAACCAAACUACCGUUUCAGUGUGUUUAAUCCCCUAUUCCACCUGUAUUUUGGAAUUUACAGAAAGGAAAGGAUAGGCAACACUUUACCCCCCAAAUUUAGCAAAAUUCAGUUCCUGCCAUAUGUCCUGCAGGUUCCACCAAAACGGAAGAGAAGUUACACAAGUAUUUUAUCGUUUGUAUUUAUUUUAAUGUUUAUUUAUUUUGAGAGAGAGUGUGCACGAGUGUGGGAAGGGGCCCACAGAGAAGGAGAAUCCCAAGCAGGCUCUGCACUGUGAGCACAGAGCCGGAUUCGGGGCUCGAUCUUGUGUACCGUGAGAUCGUGACCUGAGCUGAAACCAAGAGUCGGGUGUUCAACCAACUGAGCCACCCAUUUGCCCCAACACCAGUAUUUUAUUUUAAUUUUUAUUAUUUAAAAAAAAAAUUUUAAUGUUUAUUUUUGAGAGAGACAGAGAGAGAGACAGAGCAUGAGCAGGGGAGGGGCAGAGAGAGAGACAGAGCGCAAGCCGGGGAGGGGCAGAGAGAGAGGGAGACACAGACUCCGAAACAGGCUCCAGGCUCUGAGCUGUCAGCACAGAGCCCGACACAGGGCUCAAACCCAUGAACACAUGAACUGUGAGAUCAUGACCUGAGCUGAAGUCAACGCUUAACUGACUGAGCCACCCAGGUGCCCCUAUAACCUUAACCUUUAAUGACAUUAAUAACAGGUAUGCUUUCACCGAGUGUUUUUUAUAUGUUAAGGCUCCCAAAUAUGUUAUUAUAUUUAAUUAUCAAAAUAACUCUAGAAUUUAGUUAUUAUUCUAAUUUCAUAAUGAGGAAAAUAUUUUAAUGGCACUGGUUGAUUGUUGAGUGGCUAAACAUCCCUCUCUAGUAUGCACACUCUUUGCAGUGUAACCUAGCCAUCCCUCCCAUGCAGCCGUGCAGUUUAGUUCUUCACCGCCUCCCCCUUCCCAGAAUCGUGAUGACCUUGUGACCUACUCUGGCCUAUAGAACGUGCCAGAAGAGACAUGCAUGUGAGUUCCGGAGCCCCAGCUCAAGAGGUGUGGCAGGUUCUGCCCUCAUUCAUUUGGACCAUUGUCCUAUAAUGCCUAUAACAGCAGCAUGUGUAGCUCUAUUAGAGGAUGUUAGGCUGUGUGGAGAAGAAACAAAAUGCACCAGCUGACAGCCAGUACCCACUUCUCGCAUGUGAGUGUGGCCAUCUUGGACCUUCCAACAAAUUGCCUUUCACUGAAAGCAACUAUAUGAGCAAGCCAGACAAAACUAGAAGAGGAACCACCCGGGUAACCCACAGAUUUAUGAGAGAUAAGAAAUCAUCACUGUUUUCUUUUUUCUUUAUGUUUAUUUAUUUUGAGAGAGAGAGAGCUAGCUAGAGAGCGUGUGAAUGGGGGAGGGGCAGAGAGAGAGGGAGAAAGAGAAUCUCAAGCAGGCUUCUGUCUGUCAGUAUGGAGCCCGACUUGGGGCUCAGUCUCAUGAACGAUGAGAUCAUGACCUGAGCCAAAAUCAAAACUUAGAUGCUCAACCUAAUGAGCCACCCAGGUGCCCCUAAUCAUUAUUUUCUUAAGCCACUAAAUCUAUAGUCAGCAAUAUAUAACUGAUAAAGUGCCAUUUGUUGUUUGCACCAAGCCUCUAUCCUACCUUCAUUUGCUGAUAGCAUCCCAAAUCCCUUCUGUUGUACUUGCUAAUAAGAUGCGCAUCCCCCUCCUGGUCAAGGGGCAUGCAUGUGACUUGGACUGGUCCCAUUGGAUGCUCUGUCUCUGGAAUUUGAUUCAUGACCAGAGGGAGGAAAAUUCUGGAUAAAAUUAUUAAGAUCUGAUUUCUGCCAUCAAGAUGCUUUGGAGCUGUUGGUUCUUAUCUGCUCCAAAUCUUUGCUUGAGUCAGUUUCUGAUGCUCGUGACCAAGUACCCCCAGCUGAUAUACUGUGACAAAUUAAGAAGCCACCUCUAAGUCAUUCUGCUGUGGGCAGCAGCACUGCAACUUGAGCCCACAUCUGUCCUGUUUACCUUCCACGUAUCCAUGUUGCCUCCCCAGUUGCUUCCAAUCUAGUUUCCUCGCGUAUUUUCGCAUCUUGAAGAUGCCUGGCCUUUCUCAACAGGCACUUAUAAGGACCGAUGAUCCCGCUGUGAGCUGUAACUUGACAUCAAUAUAGGGUCUCUCACCCAAUAAAUGUGGCAGUAAUAACAGAAGGGGCUUUUUAAACUGGAGAAAUAGUGUGUGGAGCACAAAGUGGUGGAUUUUUUCGAGAUUUAUUGAAGCAUAAUUGACAUAUGGCAAAAUGUAUAAUAUUUGAGUGCACGUACUUAAAGUGUACAGUUUGAGAAGUUUUGUCAUAUGUAGCUACCCACAGAACCAUCACCACAGCUGAGAUGAUGAGCAUCCGUCACCACCAAAAGUUUCAUUUCCUUGUGCCCCUUUGUGAGUCCUCCCCCAUCUCUAGCCCCCAUCAAGUAAAGCCCAUCAUCUGCUUUCUGCCACUAUAGAUUAGUUUGUACUCUCCAAAAUUAUAUAUAGAAAUCACACAUUCUGCAUCUUUUUCUCUAGUUUCUUCUGUUCAGCAUAAUCUGGACGUUUGUCUGUGCUGUCAUAUAUCAACAGUUUAUUCCUUUACGUUGCCAAGUACUAUUUCAUUUGCACAGAUAACACCACGGUGUGUUUAUCUAUUCAUUUGUUGAAGGACAUUUGGGUCGGUUCUUGUUUUGGGCUAUUGCCAAUCAAGCUUCUAUGAACAUGCGUGUAGAAGUCUUUGUAGGGACAUAUGCUUCCAUUUCUCUUAGGUAAAAUCUAGGAGUGGAAUGAGUGGAUCAUGUAAUAGGUGUAUAUCUAAAUUUUUAAGAAACUGCCACUCUAUUUUCCAAAAUACUUACACUAUUUUACACUCCUACUAGCAGUAUGUGAGGGCUCAAUUCCUCCACGUUCUCGCAAAACUUGUUGUGUUCAGUCUUUUAGAUUCUGACCAUUUUAAUAAGGUAUAAUGGUGUCUCAUUAUGAUUUUAAUUUACUCUAAUGACAAAUUCUGUUGAUCAUAUUUUCAUGUAGUUAUUUUAUCUUCUUCAGUGAAGUGUCUGUUAAAAUAUUUUGACCAUUUAAAAAUCGGAUUUGUUUUUUUAUUGAAUUUUGAGAAUUCUUUAUAUGUUCUGGAUAUAAGCCCUUUUUCAGAUAUGUGCUUUGAAAAUAUUUUCUCCUAGCUUGUGACUUGUCUGUUUUAAUAGCAUCUUUUGAAGAGCAGGUGUUUUAAAUUUUGAUGAAGUUAAAGUUAAUCAAUUUGUUUUUUUUUUUUUUUUUUAAUUUUUUUUUUUUUUUUUUUUUUAAUUUUUUUUUUUUUCAACGUUUAUUUUUAUUUUUGGGACAGAGAGAGACAGAGCAUGAACGGGGGAGGGGCAGAGAGAGAGGGAGACACAGAAUCGGAAACAGGCUCCAGGCUCUGAGCCAUCAGCCCAGAGCCCGACGCGGGGCUCGAACUCGUGGACCGCGAGAUCGUGACCUGGCUGAAGUCGGACGCUUAACCGACUGCGCCACCCAGGCGCCCCAUAUCAAUCAAUUUGUUUUGAAUGCAUCAUGUUUAUGGUGGUGUAUGUAAGAGAUCUAACCCAAGGUCACAAAUAUUUCCUUCUAGAAGUUUUAUAGUUUUAGGUUUUCCAUUUAGUUGUAUGAUCCAUAGUUUUUGUAUAUUGUGCAAGGUAUGGAUUGAGCUUCUUUUUGUGUAUGGAUUACCAAUUGCAUUGGCAUCAUUUGUUGAGAUGACACAGUAGAAAAAUAGGAAAGACUCAUUCUCCAUUUACUUGCUUUUGCAUCUUUGUAAAGCAUUGAUUCUCCAUUCAUGUGUGGGUCCCCUGUCCCCUGUCCCAACUUUUUCUUAUGCUCCCUCACUUUAUUUGUCUAUCUUUAUGCCAAAAUUAUUCUUUCUCAAUGACUGUACCUUUAUAGUAAGCUUUGUGAUCUAGUCAUAUUAAUCCCCUUCUUUUUAAAUUCAGCUCUUUAAAAAAAACCAAAAAACUUGUUUUGGCUAUUCUAGGUCUUUUACAUUUCCAAAAAAUUUUAGAAUCAUGGGAAUGCAAGCUGGUGCAGCCACUCUGGAAAAUAGUAUGGAGGUUUCUCAAAAAACUAAAAAUAGAAGUAGCCUACGACUCAGCAAUUGCACUACUAGGCAUUUAUGCAAGGGAUACAGGUGUGAUGUUUUGAAGGGACACAUGCACCCCCAUGUUUAUAGCAGCACUAUCGACAAGAGCCAAAGUAUGGAAAGAGCCCAAAUGUCCAUCGAUGGAUGAAUGGAUAAAGAAGAUGUGGCAUAUAUACACAAUGGAGUAUUACUCAGCAAUCAAAAAGAAUGAAAUCUUGCCAUUUGCAACUAUGUGGAUAGAACUGGAGGGUAUUAUGCUAAGUGAAAUGAGUCAGUCAGAGAAAGACAAAAAUCAUAUGACUUCACUCAUAUGAGGACUUUAGGAGACAAAACAGAUGAACAUAAGGGAAGGGAAACAAAAAUAAUAAAACAGGGAGGGGGACAAAACAGAAGAGACUCAUAAAUAUGGAGAACAAACUGAGGGUUUCUGGAGGGGUUGUGGGAGGGGGGAUGGGCUAAAUGGGUAAGGGGCACUAAGGAAUCUACCCUGAAAUCACUGUUGCACUAUAUGCAACUAAUUUGGAUGUAAAUUUUAAAAAAUAAAAAAAAAUUUUUUUAGAAUCAGCUUAUUACUUUCCACACACAUACAAACCUGCUGAGUCUCUGAUUGGAAUUGCACUGGAUCUAGAGGCCAAUUUCAGGGAGAAUGCUCAUCUUAAUGUUGGAUCAGUCCUCUUUCUAAGAACAUGGUAUAUAUCUCCUUAGUUGUUUAGACCUUCUUUAGUUUCUCUCUGCAGUAUUUUGUAGUUUUCAGUGGACAGAUAUUUUAGUUGGGUGAGAUUUAUUCUUAAAUAUUUCUGAUCUUAUUUUAAAAGGUGUUUUUUUCUUAUGAUUUCAAUUUUAAUGGUUUGUUGUUAGUAUGUAGAAAUACAAUAUCCAUUCAUGUUAAAACAAAAAAACAAACAAAAAACCCCAAAACUCUUAGCAAACUAGGAUUACCUAUUUAAGGCAAUAGGGAAGGAUUUUUAUUGGGCUCUCGUGCCAAUCCAGGCAAUGCUAUCCGUGUGCUUUUAGCUACGUACCUCACACUGAUACCUGCCUACCACAUCCUGUUCAACAGAAAGGAAUGUCUUUUUUAUCAUCCUUUGAGAAAACACCCUUUUUGUUCUCAGUGAACAUCUUCUCAAAUAAUAAGUCGGAUUGAGAAAUGAACGAAAUGUGGUGUAUACACAUGCCAUGGAAUAUUAUCCACCAUAAAAAGGAAUAAAGUUCUAAAUGAAAAGGAAUAAAGGCUACAACAUGGAGGGACCUUGAAAACAUGUCGCCAAGUGAAAGAAGCCAGUCACAAAAGGACAAAAACCGUAUGAUUCUGCAUAUGUAGGGUACCUGGAAUAGACACAUUCUUAGAGACAGAAAGUAAAUCAGAAAUUACUAGGGGCCUUACUGUUUAACAGGUACAGAGUUUGAAAUGAUGACAAAAGUCUUGGCAAUAGUGGUGUUGGUGGUACAACCUUGUCAAUGCACUUAAUGCCACGGUAUUGUAAACUUAACAAUGGUUAAAAUGGUAAAUUUUAUGUUGUGUGUAUUUUACCUUGAUAUAAACAUACCAAAAUGAAAAUAAAAUACUGGAUGCCUUGGGCCAUCGAGUUCCAUGCAGUGCCCUUUUGCUGAAAGAACAGACGAGACUAUGUUUCCAAAGCUUUUCCAUCCCAGAUCACUUGCAAACUUCCUCUUUUAGCUGGACAUCCCCUCCCCAACCAUUUCUACUGACCUUACCACUCAGCUUCUAGUCUCAAACCCACCAGUGAAACUUUCCAGAAUGACAGAAAGACUGGGGAAUGGGUUUAUUUGAAGCCAUCAUUUUUUGGUUUUAAUCAAAAAUUUUUAAAUAUUUUAAGAGCAAAAUUGCUAUAUAAAGUAAGCUAAAAUAUAACUGCAACUUUAGGGGAACUUCAUUACACAUGGUAUCGAUUCCCAGCAUGUGAUUGGCCUGUUUUUAUUCUCCUUUGCUCUUCUCUCAGAAAGUAAGAAUAAAAUGGCCUUGCUUAAAUAUAACAACCUAACCUCUUGUUACUUCCUUGUAUUAGAUGGGUUUCUAAAAUUUACCUGGAGGUCUCUCAAGCUGGCUCUGUGGCUAGGAUGCUUAGAGAAUGUGUUCUUUAUAAGCACUCAUAUCAGGUUUGCUUUUUAUGUUUCAGGAGGCAGAAAAUCCCUUAAAGAUUUUCUUUGUAAAUAAGACCUUUUACAUAGAACUGAUUAUAUAUUUCACCUAAGAUGGGGAAGCUUUUGCCCAAGAGCAGUGUGCAGGGCUUGAACCUGACUCAAGGUCACCAAUUAACCCAUUUUUUUUUAACGUUUAUUUAUUAUUGAGAGACAGAGAGAGACAGAGAAUGAGCAUGGGAAGGGGCAGAGAGAGGGGAGACACAGAAUCCGAAGCAGGCCCCAGGCUCUGAGCUGUCAGCACAGAGCCCAACGCGGGGCUCGAGCCCACAAACCGCGAGAUCAUGACCUGAACCCAAGUGGGAUGCUUAACCGACUGAGCCACCCAGGUGCCCCGCAAUUAACCCAUGUUUGAGAAGAACCUAUGUAUAAUAAGAAGAAAUGAAUGUGGAACUGGCUGUUAACAGAUGCUGAUAGUUACUUUUAUGUGUCCAACAUUAUUCUGGAUGUUUCUGUGAGGGUGUUUUUGGAUGUGAUUAACAUUGCCCUCCAUGGUGUGGGCGGGCCUCAUCCAAACAGUUGAAGGCCCAAAUAGGACAAAAGCUGACCUCCCCCAGGCGAGAGGGAGUUCUACAGCCAACUGCUUUGGGGCUUGAACUGCUUUGGCUCCUUCCCGAGUAUCCAGCUACUGGCUCACCUGCAGAUUUGCCAGCCUCCAUAGUCCCGUGGGGCUAAUUCCAUUGGAUAAAAUUCUUUCUCUGUAUACACAUAUCCUUUUGGUUCUGCUUCUCUGGAGAAUCCUGACUAAUACACAGAUCUAGGCCUGAGUCCUCUGCUAUAUAUUUGCUGAAUAAUUUUAGUAAGUCAGUUCACCUCUCUGAGCCUGAAUUUCUUCAUCUAUAAAGUGAGAUGUUUAUAUUAGCUUGAAGUGUCCUGGAGAGAACGUAUCCACAUCACGUGACGUAGCAUGGGCACUGAACAAAGGGUAGCUUUUAAGAGGGAACACUAGGAACUUGAAACUAAAGAAACUAUUUCUCCUCCCCUUAAGGAGCUUAUACCCCUUUGCAGGAAACAGAAAUAACAAUGGGGGUGCUGUGUGCCAAUACCAAAUCAGUAGCGCUACCUGUUCAGGCUCUUGGGUAUGAAGAAAACCAAGCACCCCACCCCCAAAUGUGCCACCUUGGCGUAAGGAUCGUCUCGAGCUAAAGGAAAUUAGCUCUCUCCCCUCUCCCAGUCUAAAAGCAGAACAUAAAUUUCCAUUUAUAAAGGUGUGUCUCUUGCCCUAUCAAGAUGAGAACUCCUCCAGAGAACUCUGAGCCCCAGAGGUGACUCUUAUUUGCAUGACAAACCUUUCUGAACAACCCUAUUUACUUUUCCUUCCCUUAACUUCCCAUAAGUUACCGCCAGAAACCCCCAACUCCUUUUCCUUUGUCUCGCCUAAAAUGAUAUGUGUGUAUGUAUAUAUAUAUAUAUAUAUUAUAUAUAUACAUACACACAUAUAUACAUAUAUACACACAUAUAUACAUACAUACAUAUACAUGUGUGCGCACAUGCCCCAAAUACUAAUUCCCUCCUUGAAUCAUGUCUCUUUGCAAACUCCAGUGCAUUCUGAUAUAACGAAAUCUGUUCUUGUUUGUUUUUUUUUUCUUGUUAAUCUGUCUUCUGUCAACUUUAUUUGCAGGUCCUCCAGCUAUUGAAUGUGGGAAGGUAGAGAAAAAGAAAGGUUUAUCUCCCCUAUGGUAUCAUUCAAAAUAUAGGAGAUUUUGUGAUUAAGGCUUGACCCCUCUGAACAGAUAUUACCAAUCUCCAGUCUCAAACCUAUUCUUCUCCUCUUGAAUUGAUGGUAUAUCGACUUAGACAAAAUAAUGACAAAGAUAUUUAGACGAGUAACACUGGCAGCUAAUUAGGUAGAAUAGCUGGAAAAGUCUAUUUAAGAGCAAAAUAGUCCAAAAAAAAAAAAAAAGUAAAGGGAUCCAUAAUCAUAGGUGGAUUAUAGUCAGUUUAUUUUUGUUAGAUGUUGAAAUUAGAUCUGUUGAGUUAUAUAUUGUCUGAGCUUCAGUUUUGCUCAUCUAUAAAAUUCGGUUAGUGGCAUAGGGGGAAUGCAGCGAAAGCUCGAGUCCUUGAAUAAUGGAAAGACAAAUGGUUGACAGUCAUGGAGUCAAAAACUUUACCAAACCCCAGGCUAGGUGGUCCCAAGGCAAAGACAAGUGGAAUUAACAGAGAAUCAUAUUUUAUUUUUAUUUUUUAAGUUGAUUUAUUUAAGUAAUCUCUACACCCAAGGUGGCAGUCAUACCCAUGACCCUGAGAUCAAGAGUCUCAUGCUUUUCCAACUGAGCCAGCCGGGUACCCCGAGAAUUGUGUUUUAAUGACAGAGAUGACAGGGUAAAUGGAGAAAGGAGAUUGAUUCUGGAAAAAUUGAAAGAACAGCAGAAAUACUGGGAACCUCCUGAUUCUGAGGGCCUGUUCAAGAAUUUAAUCUUCAAAAUACUUUCCCAACCUCAUUUUUAGUGAAGGAAGUUAUAUUAAAAAGAGUAAUAUGGAGAACUUGUGCCUCUAUGAACCAGAAUAAAUCUAGUUUCUACAAUACUCAGGGUGACCAGUUGGUCGAGGCAAAGGAACGUGGAUACUCCUGAUGUCAGUGACCUAGGGCUACUACAACUGGCCGUCCUGACCUUAAGAGGAUUCUAGGUGAGCCCAGAAGACAAGAUAUUUUGUCAGACCCAAGUUCAACCAUGUGGCCCUCAUGGAGUAUAUAACAUACUGUUUGUUGAUCAGGCCAGUACCCAAGGAGGAGUCAGCUGUGUGCAUGCCUCCGUGCAGGGAUUCUCCAACCUCCAGUUUACAGAUGAACACAGAAGGGGCCAUGGAAGCCUGCAGAGUAUGCGUUCCUUUUCUGCUCUUUUCCUGCACAGGUGCCAAUGCAUUAAAAGUGAGAGCAAAGGGGAAGCCUGUGUUUUGAUUAGGUGCCGAGCAAUAUUUGCACUCUGAUUCCUGUCCUAGAGUACAGAGAAAGGGAUUCUACAAACUUAUAUUUGGCGAGGGGAUUUCUUGUUACUCCCUAAAUUCCUAACUUCAGCUCAGCUAUCCCAUCAGUACAGAGGGGUUUUCUUCACUGAGUCAUAAAGAUAACCUCCAGGCUGUCUCCAGAGGUAAGAGGAAGUUGCCUUAUAUUAGCAUUUUUAACGUAUUUUUAAGAAGUGCAAUUCAUUUAACAAAAACUUAAUACACAUCAAUUCUUUAUGUUUAUUGCUAUUAAUUUUUCAGAGGGAAAAAAAAGGUCCCAACCCUCAAAGAUUUUAUAACUGGGAAUCAAACACAAAAUUAACUAAGGCUAUACACAAAGUACACUUAUAUUAUUGAUUUUAAUAAAGGAGCACUAACCUUCAUGGAGGAUCUCCUAUGUUCCCGGUACUGGCAUAGAAACUUUCAUUUACCUCUCUGAUUAGGCUGCCCACCUCGGUGAGAGAUACUAUCUGCAUUUAACAAAAGAAAGCUCUAGGCUCAGAAUGGUUAAGGAACUAGGUAAGUGGUCCUCCCACCCAGAGUUUUGAUUCAAAUUCCAGGAAUCGUUCCACUACAUCAAAUGUGAUGAUAACUAUCACAAGCUUUUAUCAAGAAUGAUCACUGGAUUUUGCUGUGUCCAAAAGCACACCAUCUCCUUGGCUUCCCUGAACAGCCCCACUCCCAGCUGGACAAGUACAAGGCCUUAUAAGUACAACUCGUCUGCAUUCCAUUGGCAUAAAUUCUUAUCACACAGCCUUUUCCCUUCCCUAUUUCCCAUCCUCUGGCUUUUAAAGAGGUAGUUGCCCUUCAAGGAAUUUAUUUUUUUUUUUAUUUUUAUUUUUUAUUUUUUUAAAUUUUUUUUUGCCACUAACAAACAGCAAAGGCCCUUUCUGAAAACUUUGCUGUCCAGUAACACCUCUGUGGAAUCAUUCAACACAUGGCAAUUUUGUGUGACCAUAUGUUCCUGUUGGUUUUGUUCUCGGAGUGGUCACAAAGCUAAGUGCAAGGCCAGGAGUGAAAAAGAAGUUAAACUGAUAGUAUGACUUUCUAUCAGCUUUCUCUGCUGUUUUGCGGUGGGUGAGCCCUCACACAUCACAUACACGUACACACCUUUAUGUGAUAUUUAUAAGUGCAUCUGAGAAGAAUGGAAGUUUCACGUUGACCAGUUAAGGUAGACUAUGACUUGGCCGUUCUAAAUGUCACGCAGAUAAUGCCCAAAAGAGCUCAUCCCCAAAUCACAUGUUGGCUCUCAACUGAUCAUUUUGUUAACGUUAAGAUUAGACAGGAAAUGUUGUUUUUAGAGAGUCUGGAAUUUUAAUAAGUCUAAAGACUCCUGAUGGUCAUAUUUAUUUUAUUUGCAGGGUUCCCCAAAGGAAUUUCAUGGCGCACUCCACAGCCAGAAGUAAGCAUCUUCUUACUUAGCAAAACAAAAGUUGAUGGACACAGACGGAGAGUCCCACACUGGUGUAUCCGUGGUACAAAGAUGUGAGAUUGGGAACAAAGAAAGAAACAGACCACAAUGGGUGGCAGCACGUACCGAUAUUAAAAGGACCAGCAAAUAGUGCAAAAGUAAGUUUGAGCGGGGAGGUUUUCUGUGCCUUUUGAAAUGAUGUGAGAAGAACACUGGAAUCAGGCCAGAGGGGAGAAACGGUAGCCUCAAGGGGUUUUUGCUGGCUGCAGGACACCAGCCUGGUAUCCUAGUAUCAUUCAAAAGCUGAACUGAUUCAUCCACACACACAGGAACACACACAUUUAAAAAAAAUGGUUCCUGGAGUGGCAGCGACAUGUCCUCUUUUAAUUCACCCCUAGCUCAAUGCCAUUUAGUUAGUUUUAUUACUCCUUCUAAUAAACGAGCUGGGGAGGUUUGCUAUAAAAGGGUUUAAUGGUGAAGAACCAAUAUGCAAGGUCCUAGAAAUAUAACAACACCUGUUACAACAAAGGUCCUUAACAAUACGUGCCUGCUUUCUAGAGCUUUGGGGGGAACUCGUUAAACUAAGGGACACAGACAUUCGUAUGUGGGCUUAUGUGCCUCCGAACUUCAUUACCAGGUGCUUUGUUACAAUGAAAGCAAGUCUCAGACUGAAUUUGGCCAUAAAACAAACAUUUGGAAGCCAGCAGGCAUGAAAAAGUUGUACAACCAGUUCUGUAAACUCAGUGAAGUACAGUUCUCUGUCCUACUGGCUCUCGGACAAAUUCCUUGCAUAACAGACUCGCUUAAGGCAGACGUGACAACAUUCUAACAGCAACAUUUAGCUCCACAUUCAGUCAGAGUCAGGUGAGAGAAACUUCCUACAAAGUUGUGGCUACAGAUCAGUUUCAAAUCCUAAAACAGAGAUUGCAUUGGGAAGGGCAUGCAUUAUCAACUGUGUUGAUACUUUGUUUUGUUUUUGGGUUGUUUGUUGUUUGUUGUUGUUGUUUGUUUUGUUUUUAAGUAGGCUCCAUGCCUAGCUCAGAGCUCAACACGGGGCUUGAACUCAUGACCUUGAGAUCAAGACCUGAGCUGAUAUCAAGAUUCAGACUCUUAACUGACUGAGCCACCCAGGCUCCCUGAUAAUACCCUGUUUUAAGUAAGGUCAGGAGUGUCUGAUACAGUAUUUUCCACAAACUCGUGUAUUUUGAACAUCAUUAAUGCCACCAAUGACCAUUACUUCUAAGAUCCAUUAUGCUAAACAACAAAGCCGUUGGUUCUUAUGGGGAGUGGAGACAGGGGAAGUGCUUUCUAGCAGCCUCUAGAGCAUCUGAUACUCCUUCAAAUUCCAACAAACGUUCCCCGGAGUGUGUAUUCAUCCUCUGGUAGAGUCUUUCAACAUUACCGGCACCUGCACCAGAGACUGAUCGCACCCUGCCUAUGCUGAAGUCCUUUGAGGGUCAUUGCAGACGUUAUAGCAUUUCUGUUAAGACAUUUUAUUGUUUCUAAUCAGAGCCCAGUCAGGGGACGGGGGACCCAGACCUACAACUGGGCUCUGGACUUAAGAGAGCCCUCUCUCUCCUCUCUCCGUGGUCUGGAGUCUUGGACAGAAUCUGCCUGUAGACAAACAGGCCUGUCUCCUCACACCUAUGCCUUGGAUCGGCCCUAUUUCAAAGGUGAUGCAUUAGGAGCUUAGAGCUUGGUUCCUUCACCGGCUCAUCAGUGCAAUCUGCCCACGGAAGUGAUUUUUUGCCUCAAGUAAUUCAUUUGAAUUCCAACAUUUUCUUUCUGAAACUCUUACAUGACCUGAUGUUUUAUGAUUUGCUAGGAAAGUGCCACAGUGUCAGCUCUGUUAACACCAGCCAAAACCCCAUCAUAAAUACUAUACUCAGCGGCCUUUGGCAAAGACACUCUUCUUGACCAAACUUUAGCCAGGCCCCUCUGAGCCCUCUUUCUCACUGGGCCUCACCAGUGGGCCCUGUCUUUGGCCUCCCUAGACCAGUCGUAGCAAGAAUCCUGCUAAGUCACUUUAGUGACUUCCCCCACCCUUGAUAUCUGACCACCCUGGUCUGCUGUCAGCAAGAAUCCUAAGUCAAUUUAGCAAGAAUCCCCUACCUGUAAUGUCUCCUCUUAGUAAUUUUCUCUUUUCUUUUCUUUUUUCUUUUCUUUUCUUUUCUCUUUUCUUUCUCUUUUAGACUCUUUCCUUUUUUCUUUUUCUUUCCUUCCUUCUUUCUUUUCUCUUUCCUUUUCUUCCUCUUUCUUUCUUUCUUUCUUUCUUUCUUUCUUUCUUUCUUUCUUUCUUUCUUUCUUCUUUUUCUUUCUUUCUUCUUUUUCUUCCUUUCUAUUUAUUUUUGAGAGCGAGAGGGUGCAAGCGAUUGAGGGGCAGAGAGACAGAGAGAAUCCCAUGAGGGACAGAGAGAGAGAGAGAGGGAGGCGGGCUCACCUGGGGCUUGUGUUUUACCCAAAGCUAGGUUUGUGCUCACCCGAAGUGGGAUUCCAACUGACAAAACUGUGAGAUCAUUACCUGAACUGAAGUUGGACGCUCAACCAACCGAGCCCCCCAGGCGCCUCCUGAUCCUUUUUCUACAGGAACUUCUCAGUCAGCUGAACCUCCCCUUCAUAAAUCCCUCCUGACUGUAUGUUUCACCGCCACCGUGCUAAUGUCUCGCUGGCAUGAUUUUACUCGGGAUAAUUUGGAACUUUGGUGGCUUCCCCGGACUGACUAAUCUAAGACCUCUCCCUUCACAUCACUUCCAUUCCUCCUUCCUCUUUGUACCACUUUUGAUCUUCCCUUAGCUCCCUUGAAUCCUUUCAUGUAUCCUCCUUUAAGUCCCCUGCCUCCUUCAUCCUUCUGUCCACCUUGACAGACUUUUCCUUUCCUGUUCCAGCCCCUCAGUUCCCACAGUCACUUGAACUUGAGGCCCCCUGUCCCCAGUCAGGGGCUCUCAAGGAAUUUAAGGACUCCCAGAAGCAACUACAUAUCAGGGCAAAAGAAAAUCUUAAUAAAAGUUUCCUCCACAGAUAUUGGUGGAAAGCCUUAGCCCUCAUAUUAAACAGGUAACCUUGGGGGUGACUGGGUGGCUCAGUAGGUUAAGUGUCUGACUCUUGAUUUCUGCUCAGGUCACGAUCUCAUGGUUCGUGAGUUCAAGCCCAGCAUUGGGCUCUGUGCUUGGGAUUCUCUCUCUCCCUCUGUUUCCGCCCCUCCCCUGUUCUCUCUCUCUCUCAAAAUAAAUAAGUAAACAUUAAAAAGAAGUUUUUAAGGGGUGCCUGGGUGGUUCAGUAGGUUGAAUGGCCGACUUUGGCUCAGGUCAUGAUUGCAUGGUUUGAGCCCUGCAUCAGGCUCUUUGAUGACACCUCAGAGCCUGGAGCCUGCUUCAGGUUCUGUCUCCCUCUCGCUUUGCCCCUCUCCUGCUUAAGCUCCAUCUCUCUCUCUCUUUCUCUUUCUCUCUCAAAAAUAAACAUAUAAAAAUUUUAAUAAAAAUUUUUUUAAAUAAACAGGUAACCUAGGGCAAUAGGGAAUGAUUUCCCUAUUUCCAGAUUGAAUUAAUUUCCUGAGUGCCCAGGGCUUCAACUUUUCCCUGUAUCCUGGAGAAAUCAUGUUCUCUAUGUCCUAAAUUUUGUGUCAUGAGAAAAUGCUCACCUGAUAACAUGUUUGCAGCUGAUUAUAUUUUGGGGUCCAUGAAUUUUUAAAAAUGUUUGUAUUUAUUUUGAGAGAAAGAGAGAGAGAGAGAGAGAGAGAGAGCAAGUGAGCAAGCUGGGGAGGGGCACAGGGAGGGGGAGAGAAUCCCAAGCAGACUCCUAGCUGUCAAUGCAGAGCCCUAAGUGGGGCUUGAACCCAAGAACCAUGAGAUCAUGACCUGAGCUGAAAUUGAGAGUUGGAAGCUUAACCGACUAAGCCUCCCAGAUGCCCCAGGGAACAUGAGUUUUUUUAAAUAAAAUUUCUACACAAAUGAUUAUUCGUUCUUUAAAAAUCAGGUAAUGGGGUUGGGGCGCCUGGGUGGCGCAGUCGGUUAAGCGUCCGACUUCAGCCAGGUCACGAUCUCGCGGUCCGUGAGUUCGAGCCCCGCGUCCGGCUCUGGGCUGAUGGCUCAGAGCCUGGAGCCUGCUUCCGAUUCUGUGUCUCCCUCUCUCUCUGCCCCUCCCCCGUUCAUGCUCUGUCUCUCUCUGUCCCAAAAAAAUAAAUAAACGUUGAAAAAAAAAAAAAAAUUAAAGAGAUUUAAAAAAAAAAAAAAAAAAGAAAAAAAGAAAAAAAAAUCAGGUAAUGGGGCACCUGGGUGGCUCAGUUGGUUAAGCUUCAACUCUUGAUUUCAGCUCAGGUCAUGAUUUUAGGUUUAAGCCCCACUUGGGCUCUAUGCUGACAGCAAGGAGUCUGCUUGGGAUUCUCUCUCUCUCUUUCUCUCUCUCUCUCUGUCUCUCUCUCUCUGCCCCUCCCCAUCUCUCUCUCUCAAAAUAAAUACACUUAAAUAAAAAAAGAUAAAACUAUUUAAAGCUUUAAAACACCUAUGCAGAGAAUUCAUUCUAGAAGAAAAUGUGUAUUCUAGUUCCAAGAUAUGGAUUCUUACAGUUCUCCGGAAGUCUGAUUACAUGAACCGCCUUCUCCCUCUGAUUUUGUUUUAUCUUUAAUUACAGCCUCCAACAGCCUCUUCAUCAUUCAUUCAUUAACAAACAUGGCAGAAUUAAUUAUUAUUUGAUCAAUAAUUAUAAUUAUUUUAAUAAGCAUAUUGCAAGUGAUUAUUAAGUAACUAAUAAUAUGAUUAAAGUUAAUGAAAAAUAAUUAUCUGUAAUAAUUAUAAGCAACCACUUAGUAAUUAAUAAUGCAAUAAAAAAUUAAUUUUUGCCUUCUUUAUUCAGGAUUCUCUAAAAGGUCUCCCAAUAGAUAUUACUGCUUUGCCAGUUGGCCUUAUUUUCUUGGCAACCCAUGAAACUAGACUUUUAACCCCGGAAACAUUUAUCAGACUUGAGAGACACAAUGCAGACACACAGAAUGAAUGUCUCAGGAGGCUGUGCAUGCCCGCUUGGCACGUAUGUAAUCAUUAUAAAUCAUCUCACAGAAAUUUCCAUGCAUUCUCAGUACUAGUUAAUAACUAACUUUAUAUGAGAAUUUACAAUGGAGUUUUUUGCUGGUGUUAGGUCAUUUGAGCCUCACAUGGGAUAGGGAGAGCAGACAGGUGAGGAAAGUGAGCUGUAGAGAAUUUAAAUUGCAGAGGAGAUUGAACUCCAAUCUUCACCCUGUAAAUCCCACAUGUUUCCUGCUAUUCUGAGGAGUCCGUUUCUAUUGCACUGGAGAGUAUGGCUUCAAGAAGGAGCAGGGCACAGGGCUUUGCCACACUGCGCUGAAUUAGCUGACGAAAGUUCUUCAGGGCGAAGAAGCCAAUAGCACACUCAGCCCUCCGUUCACAUGAAAGCUUGGAUAUCCUCAGUCACGGCAGAACUACGUUUCUAAUUGAACAGCGAGGGUCCCACAUCACGCACAUGAGUGUCUAGGACAAAGGGCUGGGUUCUGUCACUGGAGGUGAUUAUCUGGUUUUAGUCCAGAAAUUAAAAAUGAUGUCAUGGUCCAACCGGGCACACCCGGUCUUCCACAUGGACGGGCUUGCCGGUUGUGAGUUAUUGUGAAGGGGCGGGUCCUCAAACGGGUCUACAGAAUUCAGAAAGUGGGCCUCUCGCAGGUAAGACAAAGAAUCCUGAGGCUUUUCUGAGCCUGGCUUCUUGGGUCUGAAAUUGGAGGAACCAAGAAAUGCUUUAAAGGAUUCUAGGUGGUAGGAGUUCAGUAAGACCCCAGGGUCUGGAGGGCAGGUUGCUGCUUGUACCCUGGAGAUCACGGUGGUGUAUCUCCUACUUCAGGAUAUUCGGAAUUCUCCAUGCGUUCACAGAGAGCUGCCAUCCCGUUCCAUUAAGACAUUCCAGUUCAACGGUUCCGUGUUGUGUUAGCUGUGUAAAGUGGGUGGCUGAAGAAACACGGAGGGAGGGUAUCAGCAGACGGGCCAUAUGCCUAUCCUCGCGCCAGGCUGUUAAAUAAGGGUGAGGUGAUGGUCCCUAAAGCCCGGGCUUGUGGUCAGCAGACCUCAGGGAGCAAACCUGUGGCAGAGGGUCUGCUGCCCUUCUCAGUCAGCAUCGAAGAAGACAUGGGAUUUCCCAAAGCCGGCACCUUUUGGUGCUUCUGUUACUCUUUCGAGGCCGAGCAAGACAGACACGCUGUGCACCCAUGUAAACAGAAGGUAACGAGUUCUUCUUUUUCUCAUGGCCUCUUUCAUGCCCACAGCAGGCUGAAUGUUCUAGCCUUAUGGGAACCACCUCCCCUCCCCCCCACCAUCUUUGAUUAUCAGGGUCUGAAUUUUUAGCCUUUGUUACUGUGGGCUGCACUUUGCAGUGUCUUCAAACACCGGGAUACACGACAUGAGGUCAAUAGGUGUGAAAUCUUCAGUCUUUGGUUGUUCUGAAAUAAUUUCAUGGGAAAAAUUCUGGAGAACUGACCCCUUAAAAAUCACGAGCAGACGUUUCCUGAGAGAUCAAACUUAAAUUGUUCUUUGGGGCAGCCUGCUCCCACUUAACGGGGCCCUCACCAUUAACCAGAUGGAACUGUGCAUUGUCCUGGGGGCUCUGUCUUUGCCCCCUUUUGGCGGCACUGAUGGAAGACGGUACAAAGAGAGAAGCAACGAUUCCUGGCUCCGUAAGGACUUAGAGCAAGUUGCCCCGAGACCUGCACUCUUGCCUGGACUGUAAGUGGCUGGGUCUUCCUCCCUCACAGUUGUAGCGUUCUCUGUGCAGUUGUUCCUAAGGGCUGGAAAGCCGAUGGCAGCCCUCUGCAAGAAGGACAAGCAGACAGGAUCACCACCCCAUGCCGGAGGAUUGGAUGUCACCAGAAUGGGCUUUGGCCCGGCGCUCCCCAGAUUGGAUUCCUGGGGUCCACUGAGUAAGCAUGAUCCCACCAACUCUAAUGCCUGUAGGGACCAGGCAACAAUAGAAAUUGUUAACAAGAGACCGGGUGGGAUUCUGGCAGAUUGGAGAACAUGGGUCCCUCGGGUGGGAACAGCCGCUUCCGAGCUGGAGCUGGUUGCUGACCCGCCGUUAGAGGGGCCGAGAGUGUUGCUAUGUCUUCUUAUCUGAGAUGAGAUGGAAAUCUUGAUUGUUUUUUCAUGUGAAAUAUCUCAACUGGAAUACUGAUAGCAGUUCAGGUUUUUAAAAACCGCUUUGUAAGUUUAUGACAUUGAAGUUGAGGGUCUGUUGUCUCAACACUCUGCUGUCAUACAUCAUCUACAUAUUUGUCCCUGACAACGCUAAUAACAUUGACCUGUAGGGCUCCAACUCUCCCUCUUCCUUCCUUUCCAUCUCCUGGGGCUCAGAAUACAUGUCUUGCUGAAUUCCCCUGAGCAUCCUGUGAGGUGGGCAGGGGUGAGAGGCUUCAACAGCUUUCUGCGGCAAAGCGGGUCCCCAGGGCCCGAUGAGGGCACCCCUAGCCCUCACUCCUAGGAGGUGCCCCUCUGGGCAUGGGGCAAAGCCUCCCACUGCUGCAAGGCAAGCCCUGCUGGGGUGACACAGGACACGUGGCGUCCACUGCAUCAGUAACGACACUGUCCGGAGGUCUACAAGAGGAAGUGAAAGGAAAGCCCAUCAAAACCCAUCCAGAACAGCAGGGAAAUUCCAUGUAGCCAGGGCCUACCCACACCACUGGCGGCAGCCGGGCUCCGCAGAGAGCCCCAGCUCUGUAGCUAUCUUGCAGGGCCUCUGUGCACGGGCUGCCUUAAUGUGCUGAUGCGAAUGUCAAUACCAGCCCCUGUCGUAAUCUAAAGGUCAGCAGAUGUGUCCUCUGGCAUGUGGGGCCUGCAGGGGCGCUAGUACUGGAAACACCUGCGGUGCUGAGGCUGUGUCCGUCCAGUUGGCUUCCGCGGGGCCCCGGGCUGGGCUGGAACAGUGUUGGAGAAGCCCUCUGCUGAUGGUUGCGGGCCCCGCCAGUGGGCUCUCCUCCCCGGCCCUGCAGAAUGAGUGGCGUCAGCCAGCUUUCCCUCCUGUCGUGAGCACGGUGUUCAGGGCAACCACGUGUCCUCUGAGAGGUGAUAGAAAUAAUGAGAACAGGACGACAGGCCCAAAAUAGACUUCACUUUGACCAGACCCCAUAUGUGCGUCAUGCCGUGAAGGGAGUGGCCCGGGAUCUGGAGCCUCUCCGCUGCCUCCCGUCCCCUUUGGGGAAUGGUUUCUCUGGGGAACCUUAUUCUUUCAGGAUCCCGUCUGCCCGCCGAUUCUCCCCGACGGUCUUUAUAGCCUGGUGCAAUUUGGCUUUAAUACACCAGAGAAAUAUGAAUGGGAACAGAAACACAACACAGAUGUCCACAACCUCUUCCCCUGUGUCACAGAACUACGUAUGUGCUUUGAGCUAGUGGUUUUGAGGAAUGAUGAAAAACAUGUGGUUUUACCCCAACUUCCAAGAAUUAGAGGCAGAUUCUAGGAGGGGGGGGACUGCCUGAACUUAAAAAUAGUAGCACAACACAUCUGGUGAGGGGAUAUUACUGCCCAUUAAAAGGACAAAAUAGGAGUUGGGCUGUGGGGUAGUGCAUAUGUGUUCCCAGCUUUCCCGGUGAGGCCCAGCCCUGGGGGUGCUGCCUUCCCUUGACGUUGAGGACUGAUAAAGAAUUCCUCCAAUUUCUAAUGUUCACAGAGAACAGUGAACCUCCUGGUGGUGAGCCAUAUCUCCCUGGAAUGUAUCCUCACUUUGCCAGAGAGAAGUUUCUAGAACUAAGCCUGACCAUGCACGUUACUCCCCCGUUUAAAUGCACUCUUUGGUUCUCAGACUCAGCAGGUUGUACCAGACCCCUGAUGUUCAGGCCCCGCUUAUCUCAGAAGUCCACAUAUAGUCCAUGUUUUCUCUUGCUGUUUGGUUUCGUUCUGUCCCAAUUCUCUUUCUCCGCUUGACUAACUCUUACUUCAAGAUUCAGGUUAUGGGAGAUUUCUGGGAUGACUGCCCAGCACUGCCCACCCUAUCUGAGUUAAGGGCUUGGCACUCGCAUAGCCCAACCGCCCAUGUGUCUGACCUGGCAUUAAGCAUGUACUUUGAACGGUCUUUCUCAUUCUCUUGUGUUUUCAAUCGCAUUAUGCGACCUUCAAGUGCGGGGAAGCACAUCUCCUCUUUGUUCUCCUGAGUACAGGUUUUUCUACCAGUAAAAAUGUAUGGAGCUCUCCUUAUGCCUUAGUUGCUGUGCUAAGCUCUACGGAUGCGGUGGCAACAAACAAACAAAAAACAUGCAGGAAUCAAGACACGAUUGCCCCCUGUGUUAGUUUCCUAGGGCUGCCAGCACAAAGUUCCACAGACUAGGUGGCUUACGCAACAGAAAUGUAUUGUCUCACAGGUGUCGGCGGAGAGUAACGUGACUGGCAUCAGCCUGCAGGAAGCUCACAGUCUCGGAGGAAAGCCAGACCCGCGAGCCAAUCAGUAAUACUGAGUGACAAUGGCCACACUACACACCGGAGCGGAGCGGGGGCAUGGGAAGCACAGAAGCCAGUCCUCGGGGAAGCGCUGAGCACAAAGGGAGCAAGAGUGAGAGAGGGGGCCGCUU
rnacentral:lncRNA from 1 species